rnacentral:tRNA from 1 species
AGUAGGGAUAACAACUGGAAGUUACUAGACUCAUUAUCUAGGAAAGAGAGUUCGAGUCUCUCCUCUACAA